rnacentral:rRNA from 1 species
CCUACGGGAGGCAGCAGUGGGGAAUAUUGGACAAUGGGCGCAAGCCUGAUCCAGCCAUGCCGCGUGAGUGAUGAAGGCCCUAGGGUUGUAAAGCUCUUUCACCGGUGAAGAUAAUGACGGUAACCGGAGAAGAAGCCCCGGCUAACUUCGUGCCAGCAGCCGCGGUAAUACGAAGGGGGCUAGCGUUGUUCGGAUUUACUGGGCGUAAAGCGCACGUAGGCGGACUAUUAAGUCAGGGGUGAAAUCCCGGGGCUCAACCCCGAAACUGCCUUUGAUACUGGUAGUCUUGAGUGCGAGAGAGGGGAGUGAAAUUCCGAGUGUAGAGGUGAAAUUAUUAGAUAUUCGGAGGAACACCAGUGGCGAGGGCGGCUCACGGGCUCGAUACU